UACGAGGGGGGCAAAUGUUGUUCGGAAUCACUGGGCGUAAAGGGAGCGUAGGCGGGUUUCUAAGUCAGGUGUGAAAUCUCGGGGCUCAACCCCGAAACUGCACUUGAUACUGCCUCGCUUGAGUACUGGAGAGGAGACUGGAAUUUACGGUGUAGCAGUGAAAUGCGUAGAUAUCGUAAGGAAGACCAGUGGCGAAGGCGAGUCUCUGGACAGUUACUGACGCUGAGGCACGAAGGCCAGGGGAGCAAACGGG
rnacentral:rRNA from 1 species